AAUAGUACAGGUGACUCUGGGAAAAGCCAAUGUCAGGAAGACAAGGCUUGCCCAGGAUAGAAGUCCCCAGCAAGAGAGAGUUAAGUUCAGAUUUCACUGGACUUCCAUCUGUAAAAGCGACACAUAGGAUGGGCUGGUGCUGUUCCCAGGAAUGUUCUCGAAUGUCCACACGCUCGGCUGUGGACUGUGACUGGCCUGCUGACAGACGCUAGGGAUUUGGUUCUGUUGGUAAACAACUUGCUACAAAAAUAACGGGGCCUAAUUUUGGAUACCCAGCAACCCUGGAAAAAGGCACAGUGGCACACACCCGUAAUCUCAGUGCUGGAGAGGCAAAGCCAGGAGGAUCCCUGAGGUUUGCUGGCGAGCCAAACUAACUCAGUGAGCUCCAGUGAGCUCAGAGACACUAGCUCAAAAGACACCCAGUACCAGUGUCUGGUCUCCACACAUCCGCGCAUGCACUUGUGCACACAUACAAACCAGGAACAAGAGCUGAAAAGGCAGGCAUAAGGAAGGCUGGCUGACCUCAUCAACCAGUGUCUACGCUUGGAUCCUUGUACAGAUACGGCACACACUUGCAGAGAAACUCACCCGUGCCCGCCAACAGAAAGCAUCUGGCUGUGCAAGAUCACACCUGUUGCCCUAAUCUGUGCCCAGGCAUGCAUUUGAGCAGCGGCAACCUGGGGAUAGCGUUUCACCACACCAGGGCCGGACCACACAAUAAAGGACAGUUCAGGACCUGUGUGCACGGGCUGUACACACUCUGAGGAGGUAGACAACUGUCCCUGUACAGUAUCCCAAAGUCCAUGUUUUGUUCCCAGCCCCCACCCAGCCUACAUUAUCCCUGGACCUACUUCUCCUACUAGGAGAUGCUUCAAGGUCCUCUCUGUGAGCCAUCCCCUAUGCUUCGGCCUCCAAUACCAAAGUGUACCAGGACUCCCCCACCCUCUGGUGGAUUCAAGUCUGCACAGAAGCUUACCUGCCUACAGGUGAGGCCCAGGAAGCGGCUGACCAAAGAGAGGCCAACCAGAGCCGGGGCUGAAGCCAGCAAGCCACUCACUCCAAACCCCAGGCAUCCUGACCUUGCUUUGGGGGUAAAUGGGUGAUACUUAGCUUGGACUUUUCGAGACCCAGUCUUUCACAUUCUAGAAUCCUCUUGCCUAAGGAGAAGACUGAUAUCUACCCUUAAAACAUGCCUCAAAUCUC